UGGCACAGGGUAAAAUUUCCUAAAUAGAAAUCCAAGUGCUACUUGAGUAGCACUUUACCUGUUGGGAACAUUU
rnacentral:snoRNA from 14 species